rnacentral:rRNA from 1 species
AAUUUUGAACGAGUGGCGGACGGGUGAGUAACACGUGGGUAACCUGCCCUUAAGUGGGGGAUAACAUUUGGAAACAGAUGCUAAUACCGCAUAAAUCCAAAAACCGCAUGGUUCUUGGCUGAAAGAUGGCGUAAGCUAUCGCUUUUGGAUGGACCCGCGGCGUAUUAGCUAGUUGGUGAGGUAACGGCUCACCAAGGCAAUGAUACGUAGCCGAACUGAGAGGUUGAUCGGCCACAUUGGGACUGAAACACGGCCCAAACUCCUACGGGAGGCAGCAGUAGGGAAUCUUCCACAAUGGACGCAAGUCUGAUGGAGCAACGCCGCGUGAGUGAAGAAGGCUUUCGGGUCGUAAAACUCUGUUGUUGGAGAAGAAUGGUCGGCAGAAUAACUGUUGUCGGCGUGACGGUAUCCAACCAGAAAGCCACGGCUAACUACGUGCCAGCAGCCGCGGUAAUACGUAGGUGGCAAGCGUUAUCCGGAUUUAUUGGGCGUAAAGCGAGCGCAGGCGGUUUUUUAAGUCUGAUGUGAAAGCCCUCGGCUUAACCGAGGAAGUGCAUCGGAAACUGGGAAACUUGAGUGCAGAAGAGGACAGUGGAACUCCAUGUGUAGCGGUGAAAUGCGUAGAUAUAUGGAAGAACACCAGUGGCGAAGGCGGCUGUCUGGUCUGUAACUGACGCUGAGGCUCGAAAGCAUGGGUAGCGAACAGGAUUAGAUACCCUGGUAGUCCAUGCCGUAAACGAUGAAUGCUAGGUGUUGGAGGGUUUCCGCCCUUCAGUGCCGCAGCUAACGCAUUAAGCAUUCCGCCUGGGGAGUACGACCGCAAGGUUGAAACUCAAAGGAAUUGACGGGGGCCCGCACAAGCGGUGGAGCAUGUGGUUUAAUUCGAAGCAACGCGAAGAACCUUACCAGGUCUUGACAUCUUUUGAUCACCUGAGAGAUCAGGUUUCCCCUUCGGGGGCAAAAUGACAGGUGGUGCAUGGUUGUCGUCAGCUCGUGUCGUGAGAUGUUGGGUUAAGUCCCGCAACGAGCGCAACCCUUAUGACUAGUUGCCAGCAUUUAGUUGGGCACUCUAGUAAGACUGCCGGUGACAAACCGGAGGAAGGUGGGGAUGACGUCAAAUCAUCAUGCCCCUUAUGACCUGGGCUACACACGUGCUACAAUGGAUGGUACAACGAGUUGCGAGACCGCGAGGUCAAGCUAAUCUCUUAAAGCCAUUCUCAGUUCGGACUGUAGGCUGCAACUCGCCUACACGAAGUCGGAAUCGCUAGUAAUCGCGGAUCAGCACGCCGCGGUGAAUACGUUCCCGGGCCUUGUACACACCGCCCGUCACACCAUGAGAGUUUGUAACACCCGAAGCCGGUGGUCAG